GACAGAGGGUGCAAACGUUGUUCGGAAUUACUGGGCGUAAAGCGCAUGUAGGCGGCCAAGCAAGUCGGGUGUGAAAGCCCAGGGCUCAACCCUGGAAGUGCACUCGAAACUGCUCGGCUGGAGUCUCGGAGAGGAUCGCGGAAUUCUGGGUGUAGAGGUGAAAUUCGUAGAUAUCCAGAGGAACACCAGUGGCGAAGGCGGCGAUCUGGACGAGUACUGACGCUGAGAUGCGAAAGCGUGGGGAGCAAACAGG
rnacentral:rRNA from 2 species